rnacentral:rRNA from 1 species
GACGUAGGGGGCGAGCGUUGUCCGGAAUCAUUGGGCGUAAAGGGCUCCUAGGCGGUUCAGUAAGUCGAGUGUGAAAACUCCAGGCUCAACCUGGAGACGCCACUCGAUACUGCUGUGACUCGAGUUCGGUAGAGGAGUGUGGAAUUCCUGGUGUAGCGGUGAAAUGCGCAGAUAUCAGGAGGAACACCAGCGGCGAAGGCGGUGCUCUGGGCCGGAACUGACGCUGAGGAGCGAAAGCGUGGGGAGCGAACAGG